AACAGCGUAUAAAGGAAACAUCAACAACAAGUGGAGCAAUGCUGUGACUACUGUUGUAUCCACUGCGUAAAGCAGCCAGCUGGAUUGCGUCUUGCUGUGGCUCCUUGCAGAAGAACAGGACAGCAGCAGGAUGAGGAUACCAGUUUGAAGGGCAGAAGGUGUGGACAGUUUCCAGUAAUGAAACACCACCCAUUCAAAAGAUGCCCUAAUCCCUCCCAGCAGAGUGGAUUGAGGACAUGCCCUCAUUCUGUCUCCAGCUGAUCAUUUAUGUUUAUAUACAGCAUGCCUGUGUGUGUUGCUCUGCACUUGUUUCAAUGAUGACUUGUCUGAAAACUUUUUUUUUUGGGAAGUUGGAUAAUGUCUGAUGUAUCUGACAACUGCAGCAACAGCUCCGAAAUGAAUAUAUUAAAUGAAUAAAUUAAAUAAGUA